CAAGAACAAAGUACUCGAUCCAGCUAUCCGGGAAGUCUGGCCGAACACAGCAGAAGCUUGAGCAUCGGGAUGAAGCUUGAGAGUGGAAAGACCCCGAGUCUGAGAAGAGGGAGGGCGUGCCAGCAGGAGACAUCUGCAGCCAGGAGCGACGGGUGUUCUCAUGUACUCUCGACUUAGCUCUGGACUGAAGAUGAAGUCGUGUGGAAGGCUGAAACUCUCAACAUGUAAAGUCCUCUUGGCUUGCCAGAUAACAACUGUUAGAGCUUCCUUAAGAAAAUAGGAGAGCGAAUCCAAACUAUGGUGCCAAGCUUUUCCAUACCAAAAUUGACACCAGCCCAUGAUUCUGCUUCAUGUAAACUAACCACUUGCCAUAUUUCCCAUUAGAGGCAAAACCCUAUGCCUGAGUUAUUUUGUUCUUUUAUGUGCUCCGAGUUAUCCCAAAUAGGAAGAUAUUUCCUUGUGUCCUGGGGCCCAAAACCCAUAAUCAUCAGCAGGAGUUUGGGUUUAUGGGUGGUCUACUGUUGGAGGAGACUCUGGGUCCACUCGUACACUCUGGAUAAAAUUCAAAGAAGCCACCAGGAAAGGAAAGAGCAUAAAGGAGAACAAAACCACAAGCUGAGCUGAGUGUAAGCAGCAGAGAGAUUUAGCUGUCUUGUCCUUACCCAGGACACACUCAGAGGUUGAGGCGAAAACUCAAGCACUCCCAGGGGCUUCUCCAGUACGAGUCUCCUUUCACCAGAGACAGCUGGGCACGUCCUUCAUUGCCGACAACUGGAACAAGAAUGUAGGGACAGAACCAGCCACACUGUGGACUUGGCUUUCCAACACUUGCUGUCAAAUUCGUUGAUGAGUUCCAACUACCCACAGCAACUCCCACUGCAGCCCAGGCUCUAGGAGAACCUCCAAGACCCUGAACUGUCCCUCUAACCCUGGUGACUGCAUCCUACCUCGUGGUCACAAGACACUAAGGGGCUUUAACAGACAAUGAUCUCCAGGAUGAGAGCACCUAGAGUUGCCAUGGCUAAAGCACUGCAUAGAUUCCCCCUGCCCAAAGCCACAUUCCACCUGGCCUCUGUUCUGUCAACAACUUCUCCCUGUCCAGCCCUGCUGCUCAUCAGGGCCAUCUUUUGUCACUGUAAAAAUAUUAAUGGUUGGGACAAUGAAGAGAUAUUGGGGGAGGGGCCUCUGUCAGGCAAGAAGAACCAGAGACAAGCCAGUCUGGCACAAGGAAGGAGUGGUUUGGGCUCCUCAAUACAAUUAAGAUCUAGGGAAUGCAAACAGGCUAUUCACCAGGGAAAUGAAUGAGCUAGUCAUAAAAUCUCAUCCCCUUCCCUCAUCCAGCCAACUGGGACACACAAAGAAAAAGAAAAGAUAUUAAGGGAUGCCCCUUUGACUCUACUCCCAUUUAUUAAGAUAAAAAAGGUAGUCUCAAAUCACCCAACAAAGCAAAGUCAAGAUUAUUUGGUAAAGUCCAAGAGGGGUUUCCAGAGAUGUAGGGUAUGGUAAAGAAGAUUCAGAAACCUAUCUGGGACUCAGGCUUCCUUUGACACAGAGGAAGGUUGGGAAGUUAGGGGAAUCUCCAAUGCCAUCUAUAAGGAGAAAAAGGAAGGGAAGCCCAAGGAUUUCCAGAGAAGGCUAGGAGGACAGGAACCCAGUGGGUGAGUGAGUUAAGUCUUUAGUGGGUAAUUCCCAGUGGCAACAGGCUGUCUGCUUUGCGCAUGCUUUGGCAGCAGACUAAAGAUGCUGUGAGAUUAAUAUUCUUUCAUUGAAACUAUCUGGAAUGUUCUUACACUCAAAACAUCCGCCUCAAGUUUUAUGGUCCACCGAAGAGACACAAGUAACAGCAGUGCUCAGCACAUGCGCAGUACCUGCCCCUUAUUCCCUAACUCUUCCUGUGUUUCUCAGGCAGGGCUACCAACCGCCUUUUAGAUGGGGACAUUUUGAGACAAGCAAUGCUAUAAGCAGACUGCACAAAGACUAGUCUGACAAAGCCAGGACUUAGGUCAUCUGACUAAGAAUUACCAUUUCGUUUUAUUUUCUCUGUCAUCUCCAGUUUGUGAUUCUAUUCUAUCUGAAAAC
rnacentral:lncRNA from 1 species